rnacentral:lncRNA from 1 species
CCAUGAACAGGGGAGAACAGAGGCAAAACCAGCCCCCCGAAUGAAAAGACGGACCAAACCAAAAAAAAAAAAUUGGUGUCCUUGGACGGGAGAUAGAGCUUGUUUGUUGAUGGAGCAAUGGAGAUGAGCUACAGACGAUAGAGCCAACAUCUCCACAAAAAAAAUGGACUUCAAAUGAGCUAAAGAGAGGAGAGGGGCUCGGCUUCAUUUUCUUGAAAAUCUGGACCAGCUUCAUCCAAACAAGAGAAGAUAGUCUCGAUUCCGUUCGACAAGGAGAACUUUGCGAUUUGACAAAUUCUGGCCAGCUGACAUGGCAGAAGAGAGGAGAGCGAGGCUGAGGCAGCGCUCUCGGUGAACUGGAGGUGAGCUUCCGAUUAUGAGCUAAGCGGCGAUCUCGAACUGGAGGAGGAACGGCGACGGAGGGAGGAAGAAGCUGAGAGGAAGAAGCCGAGCUCCCUGCUGGCUAUAGUUUUGGCCAAAUUGAAUGCAGGAGGUGAGAGACGCGCU